CAGGCUUAACACAUGCAAGUCGAGGGGCAGCAUGGUCUUAGCUUGCUAAGGCCGAUGGCGACCGGCGCACGGGUGAGUAACACGUAUCCAACCUGCCGUCUACUCUUGGACAGCCUUCUGAAAGGAAGAUUAAUACAAGAUGGCAUCAUGAGUCCACAUGUUCACAUGAUUAAAGGUAUUCCGGUAGACGAUGGGGAUGCGUUCCAUUAGAUAGUAGGCGGGGUAACGGCCCACCUAGUCUUCGAUGGAUAGGGGUUCUGAGAGGAAGGUCCCCCACAUUGGAACUGAGACACGGUCCAAACUCCUACGGGAGGCAGCAGUGAGGAAUAUUGGUCAAUGGGCGAGAGCCUGAACCAGCCAAGUAGCGUGAAGGAUGACUGCCCUAUGGGUUGUAAACUUCUUUUAUAAAGGAAUAAAGUCGGGUAUGUAUACCCGUUUGCAUGUACUUUAUGAAUAAGGAUCGGCUAACUCCGUGCCAGCAGCCGCGGUAAUACGGAGGAUCCGAGCGUUAUCCGGAUUUAUUGGGUUUAAAGGGAGCGUAGAUGGAUGUUUAAGUCAGUUGUGAAAGUUUGCGGCUCAACCGUAAAAUUGCAGUUGAUACUGGAUAUCUUGAGUGCAGUUGAGGCAGGCGGAAUUCGUGGUGUAGCGGUGAAAUGCUUAGAUAUCACGAAGAACUCCGAUUGCGAAGGCAGCCUGCUAAGCUGCAA
rnacentral:rRNA from 1 species